UACGGAGGGUGCAAGCGUUAUCCGGAUUUACUGGGUUUAAAGGGUGCGUAGGUGGGUUGGUAAGUCAGUGGUGAAAUACUUUCGCUUAACGAAGGAACUGCCAUUGAUACUACCAGUCUUGAAUACAGUGGAGGUAGGCGGAAUGCGUCAUGUAGCGGUGAAAUGCUUAGAUAUGACGCAGAACACCAAUUGCGAAGGCAGAUUGCUACACUGUUAUUGACACUGAGGCACGAAAGCGUGGGGAUCAAACAGG
rnacentral:rRNA from 1 species